GCGCUGCCUGUCCGCUGU
rnacentral:miRNA from 1 species